GACCUAACCCUUAUGGAUUUCAUAAGGUAUGGUCUAAAUCGUACAGCAUAAAGAACCCGUUAUUAGGGCGUGCUGUACGUUGCUAGAGGAAACUUUAGUAGGGUCGCAAGGCCU
rnacentral:sRNA from 1 species